UACAUGGUUUCUACAGUUUCAGCCAAAGCUAAAGCAAGAGCUAACAGCAAUCCCAAGGAGGGGUUUCCAGGGACCCCAAGCAGUGAAAAAAGGAGGCUUUCAUUCCCUUUGACACAAGGCGUUGGAUCAUUCAAGUGGAACAAAGGGUCCUCAUUCUCUAACAAGGAUUCAAGUUCUCAAAGGGGUUUAGAUAAACAUGAGUCACUUCAAUCCAUAGGAAAUUUGAGUGUGGAUUCAACCGUCUCUAUGCCUGCCACGGUUGGAAGAAAGCCAUUUAACCGAUUUGUGUGAUUUUACUUUUCAUAAAUUUUUAACAAUUUUUUUUUUUUCAUACUUU
rnacentral:misc_RNA from 1 species